UACGUAGGGUGCAAGCGUUAAUCGGAAUUACUGGGCGUAAAGCGUGCGCAGGCGGUUGUGCAAGACCGAUGUGAAAUCCCCGGGCUUAACCUGGGAAUGGCAUUGGUGACUGCACGGCUAGAGUGUGUCAGAGGGGGGUAGAAUUCCACGUGUAGCAGUGAAAUGCGUAGAGAUGUGGAGGAAUCCGAUGGCGAAGGCAGCCCCCUGGGAUAACACUGACGCUCAUGCACGAAAGCGUGGGGAGCAAACAGG
rnacentral:rRNA from 1 species